UCCUACGGGAGGCAGCAGUGGGGAAUAUUGGGCAAUGGGCGCAAGCCUGACCCAGCAACGCCGCGUGAAGGAAGAAGGCUUUCGGGUUGUAAACUUCUUUUAAGAGGGAAGAGCAGAAGACGGUACCUCUUGAAUAAGCCACGGCUAACUACGUGCCAGCAGCCGCGGUAAUACGUAGGUGGCAAGCGUUGUCCGGAAUUACUGGGUGUAAAGGGAGCGUAGGCGGGAAAGCAAGUUGAAUGUUUAAGGUACGGGCUCAACCUGUACAAGCGUUCAAAACUGUUUUUCUUGAGUGGAGUAGAGGU
rnacentral:rRNA from 1 species